AUGCUACUCCCACCGUCCCAAAAUUCUUGACUUAGAUUUGAUUACAUAUGAAUGUAUCUAGUCAUGUUUUAGUAUUUAGAUACAUCCAUUUCUAGAUAAACCUAAGACAAGAAUUUUGGGACGGACGGAGUAUUAG
rnacentral:pre_miRNA from 1 species